rnacentral:rRNA from 1 species
GAUGAACGCUGGCGGCGUGCCUAAUACAUGCAAGUCGAGCGAACAGACGAGGAGCUUGCUCCUUUGACGUUAGCGGCGGACGGGUGAGUAACACGUGGAUAACCUACCUAUAAGACUGGGAUAACUUCGGGAAACCGGAGUUAAUACCGGAUAACAUGUUGAACCGCAUGGUUCAACAGUGAAAGACGGUUUUGCUGUCACUUAUAGAUGGAUCCGCGCCGCAUUAGCUAGUUGGUAAGGUAACGGCUUACCAAGGCAACGAUGCGUAGCCGACCUGAGAGGGUGAUCGGCCACACUGGAACUGAGACACGGUCCAGACUCCUACGGGAGGCAGCAGUAGGGAAUCUUCCGCAAUGGGCGAAAGCCUGACGGAGCAACGCCGCGUGAGUGAAGAAGGUCUUCGGAUCGUAAAACUCUGUUAUUAGGGAAGAACAAAUGUGUAAGUAACUAUGCACGUCUUGACGGUACCUAAUCAGAAAGCCACGGCUAACUACGUG